rnacentral:rRNA from 1 species
ACUCCUACGGGAGGCAGCAGUGGGGAAUAUUGCACAAUGGGCGCAAGCCUGAUGCAGCCAUGCCGCGUGUGUGAAGAAGGCCUUCGGGUUGUAAAGCACUUUCAGUCGUGAGGAAGGUAGUGUAGUUAAUAGCUGCAUUAUUUGACGUUAGCGACAGAAGAAGCACCGGCUAACUCCGUGCCAGCAGCCGCGGUAAUACGGAGGGUGCGAGCGUUAAUCGGAAUUACUGGGCGUAAAGCGCAUGCAGGUGGUUUGUUAAGUCAGAUGUGAAAGCCCGGGGCUCAACCUCGGAAUAGCAUUUGAAACUGGCAGACUAGAGUACUGUAGAGGGGGUUAGAAUUUCAGGUGUAGCGGUGAAAUGCGUAGAGAUCUGAAGGAAUACCGGUGGCGAAGGCGGCCCCUGGACAGAUACUGACACUCAGAUGCGAAAGCGUGGGAGCAAACAGGAUUAGAUACCCCUGGUAGACUGUCA